UUGUUUAUGGGGACAACUAGGAUAAGUCGGAAAGAGUUCUACUGACUACAGAUUACAGAAGGGUACUGUUGUUUAUCAAACCAUUCUUCAAAUGGUCAUGCAUCAAUGAUGCAAACUUGGCUUCUUCCCAUGGUCAGCUUCCAGCAAGGUCUUCUGUUGGUACCAAUUCAUCAGUGGGCCUUCCUUCCUCGCCGAAGUUAACAACUGCUGUUUUCUCCUCUGAAGUAAUAGUUGAAAGUCCUACUUUUGCAUCACUUGCCUGAAUCUGGUUUGAAUGUAGAAUUGACACUGAUGAUUGCUUCUCGUGAUCAUCAUCAAUCAAAAACAGAUCAUUAGAUUUUUCAUUUGAUUGAAGUUUCUGAUCUGCAAAUGUUUCGUCCAAGGGGGAUAGACCAGUAGACUCUUUCCCGGUGCAGUCAGGCCCUGCAUUAAUUUCUGGGAAAAGGGCAGGUUUGCUGCUUUCAGUAGCACAAACAUGGGGGCAAACUGGAGAGCUCCUAUUGAGACACUUAUGGCACUUAAACCCGAUGAGCUUUUCAACUUUAACAGCAUUGAGAUCAAAAGCAUCUCCAUGAAACCAAUCUGUAGAUUGUGAAAAACAUAAUUUAAUAGUAAACUAGUUAUACUCAAUAAAUUUGAAUGACUCUUCCCUGAGCUGGUUGUGCCAAAUGUGAGACAUGCAUACAGAACUUCUAUUAAAAAACGAAACCAUCAUCUAUCAAGAAUUUUAAGGGUAUUCUCAUACAGGCAAGGACUAAAAACUAUUUUUCUCAGCCAGCAGUUAAUUCAAGAUGGAGGAAAUAUUCAUCUUCCGCAGCGUAUGUGUUUUCAUUUAGUAGUGGUAGAGAUGAAUCAAGUGUAAAGAUAGUUACCUCCACAAAUUUCACAAGAGACAUAAUUAAGAUGAGAUUUGAAUUCUAGUUCACCACAGAGACUGCAUUUCGGAGUACAUGCGACGGAAGGCGACUCUCCAGAAAGGACAAGAAGCAAUUUACUUCUAAAAAGCAUCACCCUUUCAUCGUUUAGCCUUCUUGACAAUCGAAGGCCAUUCAACCAGUAACCAUAACUGAUCUGGGUUCUCUUCUUCUGCCAACAACUAUUUUUUGGCUUCUUCAGUUUGUCUUGCUUCUUCAAUCUUUCUUUUUUUGAUUUAGCUUGUUUCCGUUUCUUCUGUUUUUUCUCAGUACAGAUCUCACGUGCAGACUGCAUUCAUUUUCAAGCACAAUUUUUCAUCAAAAGCUGGUGGCAAGAGUUGAACCAUGGUCUUUUGCCAUGCUCUGAUACUAUUUUGAACCAUCUAAUCUAAAAACUUAAACUGUUAAAGAAAGACUAAAUGUAUUCAUUUAAAUCAUUUUCUCUUCAGCACCAGAUAUGGCAAUAAUGACUCAUCAAAAUAAGCAUGAGUAUAUUUGAAGAAGAAUAGGAGCAACAAAUUAAUUCUUUGCUCACUCUAAAUUGAAGUGAAUCAUUUGAAUGAAGCUUUUAAAUGUACCCAGCAGACCUCCUUGCAUGUCUUUUAUGGAAAAAGCCUGAAAAUCCAUACAAGUAUAGUUGAUAUUUGUUAGUGCCUUUUAGAAGUUACUAUAUCCACUAUCUCAAAUUAAAAACUAGUUCAAUCCACAAAGAUACAAAUUCAUCUGUAACCCUGAUUUAUAUCCUUAGUUUACUAUUUCCUGAUAUCUAUUUUCUCUCCCAUCAUAAAUGGCAUCACCUGAAUACCAAAAAUUGUUUAUGGGGACAACUAGGAUAAGUCGGAAAGAGUUCUACUGACUACAGAUUACAGAAGGGUACUGUUGUUUAUCAAACCAUUCUUCAAAUGGUCAUGCAUCAAUGAUGCAAACUUGGCUUCUUCCCAUGGUCAGCUUCCAGCAAGGUCUUCUGUUGGUACCAAUUCAUCAGUGGGCCUUCCUUCCUCGCCGAAGUUAACACCUGCUGUUUUCCCCUCUGAAGUAAUAGUUGAAAGUCCUAUUUUUUGUUCACUUGCCUGAAUCUGGUUUGAAUGUAGAAUUGACACUGAUGAAU
rnacentral:lncRNA from 1 species